rnacentral:rRNA from 1 species
CCUACGGGUGGCAGCAGUGGGGAAUAUUGGGCAAUGGGCGCAAGCCUGACCCAGCAACGCCGCGUGAAGGAAGAAGGCUUUCGGGUUGUAAACUUCUUUUCUCAGGGACGAAGAAAGUGACGGUACCUGAGGAAUAAGCCACGGCUAACUACGUGCCAGCAGCCGCGGUAAUACGUAGGGGGCAAGCGUUAACCGGAUUUACUGGGAGUAAUGGGCGUGUAGGCGGGAAAGCAAGUCAGAUGUGAAAACCAUGGGCUCAACCUGUGGCCUGCAUUUGAAACUGUUUUUCUUGAGUACUGGAGAGGCAGACGGAAUUCCUAGUGUAGCGGUGAAAUGCGUAGAGAUUAGGAGGAACACCAGUGGCGAAGGCGGUCUGCUGGACAGCAACUGACGCUGAGGCGCGAAAGCGUGGGGAGCAAACAGGAUUAGAUACCCUGGUAGUC